rnacentral:rRNA from 1 species
UACGGAGGGUGCAAGCGUUAUCCGGAUUCACUGGGUUUAAAGGGUGCGUAGGUGGCUUUGUAAGUCAGUGGUGAAAUACCGGAGCUCAACUCCGGAACUGCCAUUGAUACUGCUUAGCUUGAAUCAGGUCGAGGUGGAUGGAAUAUUACAUGUAGCGGUGAAAUGCUUAGAUAUGUAAUAGAACACCGAUUGCGAAGGCAGUUCACUAGGCCUGAAUUGACACUGAGGCACGAAAGCGUGGGGAUCAAACAGG